UACGUAGGGUGCAAGCGUUAAUCGGAAUUACUGGGCGUAAAGCGUGCGCAGGCGGUUUUGUAAGUCUGUCGUGAAAUCCCCGGGCUCAACCUGGGAAUUGCGAUGGAGACUGCAAGGCUAGAAUCUGGCAGAGGGGGGUAGAAUUCCACGUGUGAGCAGUGAAAUGCGUAGAGAUGUGGAGGAACACCGAUGGCGAAGGCAGCCC
rnacentral:rRNA from 1 species